rnacentral:rRNA from 1 species
AUUGAACGCUGGCGGCAUGCCUUACACAUGCAAGUCGAACGGCAGCACGGGAGCAAUCCUGGUGGCGAGUGGCGAACGGGUGAGUAAUAUAUCGGAACGUGCCCAGUAGUGGGGGAUAGCCCGGCGAAAGCCGGAUUAAUACCGCAUACGACCUGAGGGUGAAAGCGGGGGAGUCGCAAGACCUCGCGCUAUUGGAGCGGCCGAUAUCAGAUUAGCUAGUUGGUGGGGUAAAGGCCUACCAAGGCUACGAUCUGUAGUUGGUCUGAGAGGACGACCAGCCACACUGGGACUGAGACACGGCCCAGACUCCUACGGGAGGCAGCAGUGGGGAAUUUUGGACAAUGGGCGCAAGCCUGAUCCAGCAAUGCCGCGUGCAGGAAGAAGGCCUCGGUUGUAACUAGUCUUUGUUCUAGGGAAGAAAGUACUUACUGG